rnacentral:sRNA from 1 species
UGGGUCCACUAUAUUCUAAUAAUCCAAAGGUUUUGGUGAAUGAUACGAGAUGCCCUUCAGAACCAUUUAUCUUUUGGGGAAUUCUCCGAUUAGAUCGGCGGUGUAGCUCCUAUUCUUAACGUUGUUAAUCCUGCAUUUGAUUAUGUGCCACCGGAGCUAGUCUCCUUCUUGUUACUGAUAUAGGGAGGCCUAAUCCAUCAUACAUCUAUAGGCUCAUUUCAGAUUUUUACUCUGCUGAUGAUUUGGGUCUGCACCAAAAACCAGCUUCUUGAAGUGAAUUCUCUAAUUCCAUGCAAAGAUAUUUUUGUCCUUUUUAUUAUGUACACAAUGGUCGGAGAAGUGAAACAGUAGAAGGAAAAGUCUAACUCAUAAACUUCAAAUUAUAUUUUUGGUGUGUUAUCAAAUUCAAAAGUGACUGGGAUUGAAGGACGAAUGCC